GAGACAGCAGUCGCCGCGGGAAUACGAAGGGGGCUAGCGUUGUUCGGAUUUACUGGGCGUAAAGGGCGCGUAGGCGGACUGAUAAGUCAGGGGUGAAAUCCCAAGGCUCAACCUUGGAACUGCCUUUGAUACUGUUUGUCUUGAGUUCGAGAGAGGUAAGUAGAACUGCGAGUGUAGAGGUGAAAUUCGUUGAUAUUCGCAAGAACACCGGUGGCGAAGGCGGCUCACUGGUCCGGAACUGACGCUGAGGCACGACAGCGUGGGGAGCAAACAGGAUUAGAUACCCCGGUAGUCCCUGUCUCUUAUAC
rnacentral:rRNA from 1 species